UACGAAGGGGGCUAGCGUUGCUCGGAAUCACUGGGCGUAAAGGGCGCGUAGGCGGCGUUUUUAAGUCGGGGGGUGAAAGCCUGUGGCUCAACCACAGAAUGGCCUCGAUACUGGGACGCUUGAGUAUGGUAGAGGUUGGUGGAACUGCGAGUGUAGAGGUGAAAUUCGUAGAUAUUCGCAAGAACACCGGUGGCGAAGGCGGCCAUCUGGACCGCAACUGACGCUGAGGCGCGAAAGCUAGGGGAGCAAACAGGG
rnacentral:rRNA from 1 species